rnacentral:lncRNA from 1 species
CAUUUUUGCUCCGAAACCGCGGGGGGUCGGGGAAAGGGGCGUUUUUGCGUGGUCAGAUGAUUACACAUGGCUCUUUUGUUCUUUUUUCUGCUCCCUUGGGCGCUCCGGUCCCCAGCAAGUUGAUCCGUAGCUAGGUCGUACUAAGUGCGAAGCCGAAGUCGGUCUCUACUUUUCUCGUGUUUGUACGAAGGCGACAGAAUUGAGCGUACAUGAUGAACUCCAGACCUCGAAACGAAGUCGUAUGGGGCUUGGAACAGCGGAACGAAAUCGAGAAGAAGCACAGAGUGUCAAACACUUCCGCUCCCACGUGUCUCGUUCGCCCCCACCCGCUGAAUUCAGAGCGCGCCACGAACGGGAACCGCGAACAAGGCGGAAAGGAUUGAAACAGAAGGCAAAGAAGAAAAAUGGUUCCACGCCUGCACGGUUUUGAUCCAGGGUUUACAAUGUCACCGGCUCCUUCGUGCUUCUCUUACCGGUGGUCGGAGAAAGGAGCGGCGCAUCCCCGCGUGUGCAUGGAAACUCGGAUCCAGAGCGACGAAAUUUAGUAGGAAAAAAAGAUGAGACACGAAGCGUAGAAAAGUGUGUGUGC